rnacentral:rRNA from 1 species
AUUGAACGCUGGCGGCAGGCCUAACACAUGCAAGUCGAACGAGUGGCGGACGGGUGAGUAAUGUCGGGGAAACUGCCUGAUGGAGGGGGAUAACUACUGGAAACGGUAGCUAAUACCGCAUACCAGCAGAUGUGCCCAGAUGGGAUUAGCUUGUUGGUGGGGUAACGGCUCACCAAGGCGACGAUCCCUAGCUGUGCUGAGAGGAUGACCAGCCCCACUGGACCGGAGCCACGGUCCAGACUCCUACGGGAGGCAGCGGUGGAGAAUAUUGCACAAUGGGCGCAGGCCUAAUGCAGCCAUGCCGCGUGUAUGAAGAAGGCCUUCGGGUUGUAAAGUACUUUCAGCGGGGAGGCGUUACCCGCAGAAGAAGCACCGGCUAACUCCGUGCCAGCAGCCGCGGUAAUUC